UCUUUAACAAUACAGAAUUCUUUUUUCAUCAAAUUUACAUAAUGUACUGAUUAGAUCUCUCGGAAAUGAUAAAACCGUUUAGGUAACAAGGGGGUUAUAAACAACAGCAAUAUUUACAUCCAAGUAUUUGCGCCAAUUUUAAACCACCAGGAAGGUCAUGCCAGGAACAAAGAGAUUGGAGAAAGCGGCAACGAUCGAAGCACAGAUGGUGAAGAAGAGAUCAUAAUCCAUAGGAUAAAUCAGUUGGGCGAUCAAUUGAAUGAUGAAAUAGUCCAUAAAUACUUGAAUUUAAGUGAAGAAAAGAUCUUGCGAGAGUCAAAUGACUAGAAUUGCAACAUUUUCCAUAGAUGCAUGCCAAUGAACUGCAGCUGUUGAGUGUAGCAUCAGGAAUGAAGUGUAUUUUCAAUGCCAGGAGUUAUAAAACAUGAAAAACAUCUUUUUGUGAAUAUUUCUAUGAAAAUGUGAUUGGAGAAUAUAAUAAGAAAUGUGAAUGACAAAACUGCUUGUGAAUUGCAUCUUUUGUGCCAAAUAAGGAGUACAGAGAAUGGCAGGAUUAAUCGGCAUGAUUCUCAAUAAAGUGAUUUCACUGUGAUUAUUGGAAUGUUGCAACUGCUGACUAAACUAAUAUGUCAAUCUUGUAGGUUAAAAUACUGUGAAACAGGAAAAGUUAAUGUAAAUCUAGCAUGUGAUGUGACUGUGAUUUGAAACAGUAAAUGUUCGAUUCUGAUUUUUAAUCAUUUCUCAUUCACAUUUAAGCAUACUGAAAAGUAUUAAUAAAAUAAAAAUUGUGUAUGAUUGUAAGCUUAA